AGGGUGCUUGUUAUAAAGGGUGCUUGUUAUAAAGGGUGCUUGUUAUAAAGGGAAAAGGGUGCUUGUUAUAAAGGGAAAGGGGUGCUUGUUAUAAAGGUGAGAAGGGUGCUGUAUAAAGGGAAAGGGUGCUUGUUAUAAAGGAAAAGGUGCUUGUUAUAAAGGAAAAGGGUGCUUGUUAUAAAGGGAA
rnacentral:lncRNA from 1 species